GGGAAUCUGCCCCUUGGUUCGGAAUAACCGUUGGAAACGACGGCUAAUACCGGAUGACGACGUAAGUCCAAAGAUUUAUCGCCGAGGGAUGAGCCCGCGUAGGAUUAGCUAGUUGGUGUGGUAAAGGCGCACCAAGGCGACGAUCCUUAGCUGGUCUGAGAGGAUGAUCAGCCACACUGGGACUGAGACACGGCCCAGACUCCUACGGGAGGCAGCAGUGGGGAAUAUUGGACAAUGGGCGCAAGCCUGAUCCAGCAAUGCCGCGUGAGUGAUGAAGGCCUUAGGGUUGUAAAGCUCUUUUACCCGGGAUGAUAAUGACAGUACCGGGAGAAUAAGCUCCGGCUAACUCCGUGCCAGCAGCCGCGGUAAUACGGAGGGAGCUAGCGUUGUUCGGAAUUACUGGGCGUAAAGCGCACGUAGGCGGCUUUGUAAGUUAGAGGUGAAAGCCUGGAGCUCAACUCCAGAAUUGCCUUUGAUACUGCAUGGCUUGAAUCCAGGAGAGGUGAGUGGAAUUCCGAGU
rnacentral:rRNA from 1 species